CGGCGUAGACAAGGAAGUUAAGUAGACGAUUAAUUGAAAGGUCUAAAAUGCAAGCUUACUGUUACAGACACGCAGCCCAUCCACAGAGAGGGAGAGAGAGAGAGAUUGCCAUUUUUGUGUCCUCUGCCCUCACGCACCCACACAGUGACCGUAGUUUUCUGUCUUUCCAACCUCCCCAAAGCUGGAAACGGAGUAACUGUUCAUGAUUAUGAACGCCAACUCCUCCUCUUCAACUUCAACUUCAACUUCGACAGCCGGAGCAGGAGCAGAAACAGGUGCGAAUCCUGCUGGUCCUUCUCAAUCAAUGGCUACACCUACAUCAUCAUCAACACCACCAGCUACAGGUACAGGUACAACAGCAGCAGCUAGUAGCGAUGGCUCAGGCAAGAAAGUUAGAAAACCUUAUACAAUCACCAAGUCUCGUGAGAGUUGGACUGAAGAAGAGCAUGACAAGUUCCUUGAAGCCCUUCAAUUGUUUGAUCGCGACUGGAAAAAGAUUGAAGAUUUUGUGGGUUCGAAGACGGUGAUCCAGAUUCGGAGUCAUGCCCAGAAAUACUUUUUGAAGGUCCAAAAGAAUGGUACAACGGCGCAUGUUCCUCCUCCUCGCCCUAAACGCAAAGCCUCUCAUCCUUACCCACAGAAGGCGUCGAAAAAUGUUUUAGUGCCGCUCCCAGCAUCCAUGGCUUACCCUUUAUCGAUGAAUACCUUUGCACCAGGGUAUGCUCUAUGGGAUGAAACUUCAGUGUUAAUAAACUCCGCAACAAGCAAAAUCAUGCCAUCAGAAGAUGAACUUCCAAAUCUUCACGGAGCUGAAGCUGAUAUUGGACCAAAGUGUGUAUCAAGGGUUAGUAACAAUACUGUCAGUGGCCUUGGGACCUCAAGUAGAACAUUGCCAAGUGCUGAGAUGCCAAAACAAGGGAAGCAAGCGCCUGUGCUUCAUGGUAUACCAGAUUUUGCAGGUAUACCAGAUUUUGCUGAAGUAUAUAGCUUCAUUGGAAGUGUUUUUGAUCCAGACACGAAAGGGCAUAUGAAAAAGCUACAGGAAAUGGACCCUAUAAAUUUUGAAACUGUUUUGUUAUUGAUGAGGAACCUUACUGUUAACUUGUCUAGCCCUGAUUUUGAGCCAUAUGUAUGAUGCAUGUGGAAACAAAGAUAAGCAUCAGCGUUUGCAUCUAUCUCUUCGUUAAUUUUUCAUUCCUGAAUGUGCAUGUAGUUUGGUGUGUGCUCCUACAAGAUUCUGAAUAGAAUAAAAGGCCCAGGAAAAAUUUUCCUAUGAAAUAUCUUCGAACAAGUUCUUUAAUUUAUUUGCUAGUUUACAUAUUAUUUUUUUUAUAGAUUCUUCAAUGAUUGUUCUGUAAUCUUGGCUAGUUUACCUCCUUGGUUGAUUUAGAGGAAGGUCAUGUCAUCAUAUGAUGUCAAUACCAAAGCAGUGGGAGUUUCUGCCCUGAAUCAGACCAAUGAUAUAGCAUGUUGAACUACUUACAUUUUGCUGACUUUAACGUGGUGAUGUUGGCUGGAAUUCUUGCUGCAUCACUAAAAUCAAAUAAAUGUGCCUGCUUUAUCUUUCUGCACAUGCCUGGAAGUUCAUUCUGAGACAGACAGUGGCAGCCACGCCAAGGGAGAGUUUAUGAUGGUAGAACAAAGUUUUCUACUGAUUUUCAAGGUCCAUGAACGGUGAACCUUGACGUCUACUGACCUGAAUAGCAAUGGCUGUUUCUAUUCUAUUGACGAUUUGGCCUUCAACCAAACAAGUGUGUAUAUCUUGUGAGACCUGUUCGGCCGUCCCUUGAGAUUAAUAUAUAGUUUUGCAUAUAGCGGGGUACAUUUUGCCGAGGCCUUGUAACUAAAAGAACUAGAACACACGAGGAAAAAGUACUUCCCUUCCCUUCAGACUUGUGAAGUAGGUUACUCUGUAUUAGCAUGACCUCCAUUUGUUGACAAUAUACUGUGUUUUUGCUUCUGUAAUUUUUCAGCUAAGAAAUCGGAUUUCUUUCCCAGGAUU